GGGGUUCGGAUAAGGUUUGGAAUUUUCAAUUUUAGAAAUAGAUUUAAUUACCUGUUACACCUUUUAAUUCACCAAAAAUUGUAGAAUUGUCCAAAAAUAGUGAAACCAAUUUUGUUAGGACUGUUUUAUUUUCCUUUAUGCUUUAAAAUUUUUAAAACUUAGGAAAAAUAAUAAAAUUUAGGUAUUUAUUUAAUGCCUUCUGAUUAAAGUAUUUAUAUAAAUGCUUAAUCUUUAUUAAAUGCAUAAAAUUUUGAAUAAUGUUUUCUUAUUCAUAAAUUAU
rnacentral:lncRNA from 1 species